AACAAGCCGGGAUAGCUCAGUUGGUAGAGCAGAGGACUGAAAAUCCUCGUGUCACCAGUU
rnacentral:tRNA from 1 species